UACGUAGGGUGCGAGCGUUGUCCGGAAUUAUUGGGCGUAAAGAGCUUGUAGGCGGUUUGUCGCGUCUGCUGUGAAAAUCCGGGGCUCAACCCCGGACUUGCAGUGGGUACGGGCAGACUAGAGUGUGGUAGGGGAGACUGGAAUUCCUGGUGUAGCGGUGAAAUGCGCAGAUAUCAGGAGGAACACCGAUGGCGAAGGCAGGUCUCUGGGCCACUACUGACGCUGGAGAAG
rnacentral:rRNA from 1 species